rnacentral:piRNA from 1 species
UACUCUUUAAUCUUAUGUGCG